UUUUUAGUAUGACGUCACUGCGCUUUCAAGAUAAUGUCGCCAUAGUAACCGGUGGCUGUCAAGGUGUUGGAAGAGGCUGUGUUGAUGUUUUGGUUGAAAAUGGUGGUAAAGUAGUUGUUUUUGAUAUAAAAGACGAACUUGGGUCAACAAUGAUAGCAAAAGGACCAGGUGAGAAAAAGUAUAUACACUGUGACGUCACAAAAGAGGACGAAGUUAAG